rnacentral:rRNA from 1 species
CCUACGGGAGGCAGCAGUGGGGAAUAUUGCACAAUGGGGGAAACCCUGAUGCAGCGACGCCGCGUGAGUGAAGAAGUAUCUCGGUACGUAAAGCUCUAUCAGCAGGGAAGAAAGAAAUGACGGUACCUGACUAAGAAGCCCCGGCUAACUACGUGCCAGCAGCCGCGGUAAUACGUAGGGGGCAAGCGUUAUCCGGAUUUACUGGGUGUAAAGGGAGCGUAGACGGCGAUGCAAGUCUGAAGUGAAAGGCGGGGGCCCAACCCCCGGACUGCUUUGGAAACUGUAUGGCUGGAGUGCAGGAGAGGUAAGUUGAAUUCCUAGUGUAGCGGUGAAAUGCGUAGAUAUUAGGAGGAACACCAGUGGCGAAGGCGGCUUACGGGACUGUAACUGACGUUGAGGCUCGAAAGCGUGGGGAGCAAACAGGAUUAGAUACCCUGGUAGUC